rnacentral:lncRNA from 1 species
UUCCCUUGUGCCACGUAUGCGACUGGAACAGUAGACAGUCUUUGAUCUUCAAUGAUGGACUGUGUAAGAAGACGUUGUUCUUCACGUAACAACUCAUUAAGACAUGCAUCCAACGAUGGGACAGGAUCUCUAUGCAUGAGAUUGGACCGGAUACCUUCAAAUUCAGAUCGCAAUUUCAUAAGAAAUUGGUCACGUUUAGUAAUCUCAUGAAUUGUUUGUACGGAACUGAGACCUUCGGAAGGCAAGUUUGCAUAAACUAUAUCAGUGUAUU